UACGUAGGGUGCGAGCGUUGUCCGGAAUUACUGGGCGUAAAGAGCUCGUAGGUGGUUUGUCGCGUUGUUCGUGAAAACUCACAGCUUAACUGUGGGCGUGCGGGCGAUACGGGCAGACUGGAGUACUGCAGGGGAGACUGGAAUUCCUGGUGUAGCGGUGAAAUGCGCAGAUAUCAGGAAGAACACCUAUGGCGAAGGCAGCUCUCUGGGACGGUACUGACGCUGAGACGCGAAAGCGUGGGGAGCGAACAGG
rnacentral:rRNA from 1 species